rnacentral:rRNA from 1 species
GAUGAACGCUGGCGGUGUGCCUAAUACAUGCAAGUCGAGCGAACAGACGAGGAGCUUACUCCUCUGACGUUAGCGGCGGACGGGUGAGUAACACGUGGAUAACCUACCUAUAAGACUGGGAUAACUUCGGGAAACCGGAGCUAAUACCGGAUAACAUGUUGAACCGCAUGGUUCAACAGUGAAAGACGGUCUUGCUGUCACUUAUAGAUGGAUCCGCGUCGCAUUAGCUAGUUGGUAAGGUAACGGCUUACCAAGGCAACGAUGCGUAGCCGUCCUGAGAGGGUGAUCGGCCACACUGGAACUGAGACACGGUCCAGACUCCUACGGGAGGCAGCAGUAGGGAAUCUUCCGCAAUGGGCGAAAGCCUGACGGAGCAACGCCGCGUGAGUGAAGAAGGUCUUCGGAUCGUAAAACUCUGUUAUUAGGGAAGAACAAAUGUGUAAGUAACUAUGCACGUCUUGACGGUACCUAAUCAGAAAGCCACGGCUAACUACGUG